rnacentral:RNase_P_RNA from 1 species
AUAUUAUAUCAAGAGGAAAGUCUGGGCUUCAGUGAAGUAUAGUUCCAUCUAACUGAUGGCUAGGGCAACCUAAGGGAUAGUGCAACAGAAAGUAAACUUCCUAUUUUAUAGGUAAAGGUGAAACGGUAGAGUAAGAGCCUACCAGUCUUUUGAGUAAUCUUAAGAGCUAUGUAAACCCAACUAGAAGCAAGAAACGAGUGGUAAAAACUUCACAUUUUUUUCGUUUCGCUUGAUUUUUAAAGUGAUUUAAAAACUAGAUAAAUUAUUAUCAAAUACAAAACUCAGCUUACAACUGUGCC